CCCCCCAGCCCUCCCGCUGGCCUCGCUCUGCAGCCAGCUCCCUGCCCAGCCGCCGCGCCUUCGGCGCCUGCCGAGAGGCCUUCUUAUCAAGAGGGAGAGGAGCCAGGGCAUGCAAUUGGGUGAGGUUUUCGGAGCACAGGUUGUCAGGUUUGUUAGGAGGGAGAGGGGAUUCGGGAGGAGAAACCAUCCUUCAACCUGUGGCCAAGUGUGUAUUUCAAUGUAUUCGUAGUUCACUUAGCUGAGAUGUCUCAACGGAAGCUAGACAACAAUGAUGAAAGAUCCAGAUUCAUUAGAAAGCUGAAGAGAAGAAAGAAAGCCUUUAUUCCAAACAGCUUGUCGUUACUUCUUCCGUGUCUAGAAGAGUUCCCUGAACACAGCGAGCGCUCAAUAAAUUAUUGUUGAAUGAAUCUAUGAAUGAGUAGGAAGGAUCUCAUUCAACCUUUUGAAGAAGCGUGACAGGAAACAUCAAUGAGAAUGAAUCUAAACAGUACUACGGCACACCUGGGAAGAAUUAAAGGCUUUUCCAAGCUAGUCCAUUGAAUAAACAUCCAGAGAUACAGAGUGCUCCAUUCCUCCAGGAGGCUUUUAUGAGAUCACCACAGAGUGGAGAUGAGAUGGAGUUUGAAGUUGCAUUCGUGGGCAGUCAGAGCAAUCACACAUUAAUCCUGCUGAAAGGAACAGAAUCCAGUCUGUAAGACAUUCGAAUGCUCCUGGGAGCUGACUGGUCUGCAGUUCUUCCCAGACCUUCAGUUCAGUUCAGUUCAGUCGCUCAGUCGUGUCUGACUCUUUGUGAUCCCAUGAAUCGCAGCACACCAGGCCUCCCUGUCCAUCACCAACUCCUGGAGUUCACUUAAUUAAUGGGAAUUCCUGGCAGAGGGGCCUCAUGAGAGCCAAAGCAGACAGUGGGUGAGCUGUUUGGAGAUCAUGCUUGCUUAUUGCCAAGUGGACACACGGUCUUUGGGCAUCUCAUGAAAGGAGAAUCCUGAAGCUCCCUGUGUGUGAGGAAGGCUGGCAGCCUACAACUUUGUUCUGCCCCUCUGUCCGGUUCCAUCACAGCCAACCUCACACAUCCACCUCACUACCUUCUCCUUCUGCUUCCUGAGGAAAAAUUUGGCUCUACCAAUGAUAGCUUUCACUACUUUGUUAGAGUAUUGUUCUUGUUCAGUUGCUAAGUCGUGUACCACUCUUUGCAAACUCAUGGACUGCUGCACGCCAGGCUUCCCUGUU